GACGAACGCUGGCGGCGUGCUUAACACAUGCAAGUCGAACGGAAAGGCCCUGCUUUUGUGGGGUGCUCGAGUGGCGAACGGGUGAGUAACACGUGAGUAACCUGCCCUUGACUUUGGGAUAACUUCAGGAAACUGGGGCUAAUACCGGAUAGGAGCUCCUGCUGCAUGGUGGGGGUUGGAAAGUUUCGGCGGUUGGGGAUGGACUCGCGGCUUAUCAGCUUGUUGGUGGGGUAGUGGCUUACCAAGGCUUUGACGGGUAGCCGGCCUGACAGGGUGACCGGCCACAUUGGGACUGAGAUACGGCCCAGACUCCUACGGGAGGCAGCAGUGGGGAAUAUUGCACAAUGGGCGGAAGCCUGAUGCAGCAACGCCGCGUGCGGGAUGACGGCCUUCGGGUUGUAAACCGUUUUCGCCUGUGACGAAGCGUGAGUGACGGUAAUGGGUAAAGAAGCACCGGCUAACUACGUG
rnacentral:rRNA from 1 species